ACUGAAUACAUAGGUUUAUGAAGCGAACGAGGGGA
rnacentral:sRNA from 1 species